GCCCUGGUAGACCAACCGGCAGAGUCGGCGCCCUCAAAAGGCGCGUAGUGUGGGUUCGAAUCCCACCCAGGGCA
rnacentral:tRNA from 1 species